AAGAUCAUGCAGUGCCAGCAGCCGCGGCAACACUGUAUAAUC
rnacentral:rRNA from 1 species